UCCGUAUUGCUCAAUCGUGGUCCGGAAUUAUUGGGCGUAAAGAGCUCGUAGGCGGUUUGUCGCGUCUGCUGUGAAAGCCCGGGGCUCAACCCCGGGUCUGCAGUGGGUACGGGCAGACUAGAGUGCAGUAGGGGAGACUGGAAUUCCUGGUGUAGCGGUGAAAUGCGCAGAUAUCAGGAGGAACACCGAUGGCGAAGGCAGGUCUCUGGGCUGUUACUGACGCUGAGGAGCGAAAGCAUGGGGAGCGAACAGGAUGAGAUACCCGAGUAGUCC
rnacentral:rRNA from 1 species